AGCGAACGCUGGCGGCAGGCCUAACACAUGCAAGUCGAACGAGGUCUUCGGACUUAGUGGCGGACGGGUGAGUAACACGUGGGAACGUGCCUUUAGGUUCGGAAUAACUCAGGGAAACUUGUGCUAAUACCGAAUGUGCCCUUCGGGGGAAAGAUUUAUCGCCUUUAGAGCGGCCCGCGUCUGAUUAGCUAGUUGGUGAGGUAAAGGCUCACCAAGGCUACGAUCAGUAGCUGGUCUGAGAGGAUGACCAGCCACAUUGGGACUGAGACACGGCCCAAACUCCUACGGGAGGCAGCAGUGGGGAAUCUUGCGCAAUGGGCGAAAGCCUGACGCAGCCAUGCCGCGUGGAUGGUGAAGGUCUUAGGAUUGUAAAAUCCUUUCACCGGUGAAGAUAAUGACUGUAGCCGGAGAAGAAGCCCCGGCUAACUUCGUGCCAGCAGCCGCCGUAAGAC
rnacentral:rRNA from 1 species